ensembl:lncRNA
GGGACCAGCCAGCCCGCUGGUUUGGUAGAGCCAGAACCCUAUGGACCAUAGUGCCACCUGGGAAGCUAGGCUGGAGCACAGGAAGGCAGCAGCUACUGGGUCUAGUGAUGGAGGUUCUUCUAUUUGGAGUUGAAUCCAAUCUGUCUCCUCCAUGGCAAGACUUCAUCAGAGCAGUUUCCAGCCUUCUGUCUCUUGGUUAUCGUGGACUCAGGGCAUUGCCGGGGAGGCCUCAGCACAUUGACCCAGAAGCCUGCUUAUCAGUCCCCAGGAUGCAAGACUCUCAUAAGUUCCUUUGUUGGAAAGAAGUUUGAUGGCAACUGCUUCCCAGCCAGGCUCACAACCUUCAACUUCUCUCUACAAGGGCUCUUGGGAGUCAGCAGUCCCUCCAGACCUGGUCCAAUAACCCCAUUGAAUAAAUGGUCUGCCUGGCUGUGUUUUAAC